rnacentral:rRNA from 1 species
UACAUGGGGUGCAAACGUUGCUCGGAAUUAUUGGGCGUAAAGCGCACGUAGGCGGUUUGUUAAGUCGGAUGUGAAAUCCCUCGGCUCAACUAAGGAAGUGCAUCCGAAACUGGCAAGCUUGAGUACGAAAGAGGGUCGCGGAAUUCCCGGUGUAGAGGUGAAAUUCGUAGAUAUCGGGAGGAACACCGGUGGCGAAGGCGGCGACCUGGGUCGAUACUGACGCUGAGGUGCGAAAGCGUGGGGAGCAAACAGG